GUGGGGAAUCUUGCGCAAUGGGCGAAAGCCUGACGCAGCCAUGCCGCGUGAAUGAUGAAGGUCUUAGGAUUGUAAAAUUCUUUCACCGGGGACGAUAAUGACGGUACCCGGAGAAGAAGCUCCGGCUAACUUCGUGCCAGCAGCCGCGGUAAUACGAAGGUGGCUAGCGUAGCUCGGAAUUACUGGGCGUACAGGGCGCGUAGGCGGGCAGCUUAGUCAGAGGUGAAAGCCCAGGGCUCAACCUUGGAAUUGCCUUUGAUACUGGCUGUCUUGAGUUUGGGAGAGGUGAGUGGAACUCCGAGUGUAGAGGUGAAAUUCGUAGAUAUUCGGAAGAACACCAGUGGCGAAGGCGACUCACUGGCCCAAUACUGACGCUGAGGCGCGAAAGCGUGGGGAGCAAACAGGAUUAGAUACCCCAGUAGUCC
rnacentral:rRNA from 1 species